GAAGUUCCGGUAUAAAAGGGGAGGCUCCGCCCCCGGCCCCUUUCACGUCAGUUUCGAGAUUCAAAAUUUGAAAAUGGUACAUCCAAAAUGGCAGACGACAGCUAGCGGACAGAAGUCCAGUGCUCAAAAAAACAUCAUCAUUGUUUAAAUUUAACAAAUAUAUAUUCCCUAAUUUGUUAAUAAAUACAUUUAUAAAUGAAAAAGGAAUGUUAUAAGCAUGAUUUUAUCGAAGUUGUGACCCAAAAAGUUGAAAUAUACCCGUACCGAAAAACGUAAACAAAGCGUAAUGUGUUUAGUUGUGCCGUGACAAGAAACUCACAAAAAGCAACAUAGUGUUCCCGCCUUUUUCUCCAAGUUUUGACACACGUUUGCGCGGGAAAACACUGGCAGCUUUGACACUUUAUAAGUUUUCAUGUUGUCUUCCUGUUGGUGUCAAAAAUGGCAGCAAAAGAAAGUCGAAAAAGAUCGAGAUUUACUCUCCAAUUUGAAGAUAACGAGGAGAAACUCUCCUUACUUCGCGCCAGAAUAGCGGAAUCGAAAAAAAUACUGGGCGAAUGCAAUAAUUAUUCAUGGAUUUCGAAGCUUAUAGAUUUUUACGACUCCCAUCGUGAGAAAAAGAGUGAUGCCGGUCGGCCGGAGACGUCUGGGACAAUAGAUGUAAAACUUCCAGUUAUCGCUCCGCCUUCUUCUUCCUCUGGUCAUGAGCCUUCAAAAGUAGAAAUCCAAACAGCUCUGGAGGACGACGGCGGAAAGUACUUUAUCGCUUGUAAAGCUACAAUUCGUAGCCUGGUGAAGGGCUUGACGGAGUCCAAAGGAUGCUGUUCUGUUUGUGGUGGGUUUUUACUUCUCGAUAGCUUCCAGAUGGAAAGAAGAGGGCAUUGUGGCCGUAUUAGCAGGUCCGUAUUAGCUUCACAUGCGAAAACAACCAUGAAACUGUCUGGUUUAGUUCGCCAAUCUUGAAGUCCAAAUACGUUGCAAACCUCAGAGUAAUUCAUGGAUUCAUGAGCUCUGGGCUAACUGAAACCCAAUAUCGUGGUUUCACCGAAGCAGCUUCUCUUGGCUCAGUUGAACAUACAUAUUUAGAUUCAGCUCAGCUCAAAAGCAUUCGUAUGAUGGGUUGAUAUAAUGUUGAACCAGAGAUAUCCGUGUGAUCCAACUCACUACAUAACAAGACAAGUUUAUUUCUGUUUACUUUUGUUAUGUUAUAGUUUWUUUUUCUAUUUGAUCCUAUUUUGAUUUCAUUCUUUUCCUACAUGCAUGCGAUUCACAAACCAUUUCAUUCAUUCAUAAAACUUUUUGUGACAUUUUAAUAUUUUUUCCUCAAUUAUUUCCUCAUUGUUGAUCUUUUUUUAGUUUUCAAUAAAUUGGGUUAUC